UCUCGUCUCCUAGGCGUGGAGGAGCCCUGCUGAGGAAGACUAGGACUUUUGUGGGUGAACAAGACUGGGAUGUUCCCUGUUGAGGGAGUGAAGACGUCGGGGGAGAAGCAGGAAGUCCAGGGAUUGGACGAGCGCUUGAGUUUUGUGGAUGCUGUCCAUUCCGUCUGCUCCUUUUCUUUAUUUUUGUAAUUAAACGUUUGGAAACGGUC